AGAAAAAUAUGGUAAACAUUCUUCAGACUUCGCAUCUGCAACAAGAUAAGAGAGAGCCACAAAGGAAACUUUCCUUGGACACUGAGGUUGCAGCAACGUUACAGCUUUGCCUUGGCUACAUAGUUAAGCUAUCUCCAUUAUGUAUCCUCCUGUUGGUGUUUUUAGUACUUUCCUCAACUUCUUGCCACUUAUUCUCAAGCGAUGAUUGACAAGACACGGGAUACUUUGGUUACAUAUUUUUUCAAGCAAAAACAAGUUAUCAAUGAUCGAAUUGAUGAAGAUGCAGAAAAUGAUCUUUUGGACUUUGGUCAUGAAUAAUCUUUGUAGUUAGUGCAUAUUGAAACUUUCUAACAUUUUUUUUGGCAAUCUCGUAGCAAGUUAAUACAUUUGAAGUACUUUGGAUUUGAGCUUGUAAUUCUCACAAUAGUUUUAUUUAGUUUAUAAAUUGUUUUGGAGAACAAGAAGUUGGUACAUUGGUCGA